CGGGGUGUAGCUCAGGUUGGUAGAGCGCGAGCUUUGGGAGUUCGAAGUCGGGGGUUCGAAUCCCUCCACCCCGACCA
rnacentral:tRNA from 2 species